CAUUGUGUUGACUAUAGGGAUAGUCAUUCUUAUAUUUUAAAUUUAGAUUGCAAACAUCUUCGUUUUUUAUAUAAAUGUACUUUAUUUUAUUUAUUUUGUAUUAAAAAUACACGAUUGUCCUUAAUAUUUUUUCCAUAGAGAUGCAGGCAUCGACGUAGAAGUACAGAGAAUUACAAAGUGGCAUGAUAUGAAAGCAGUAUUAAAGAAUGUCAUGAUAAGGGACCAAAUCGAUUUUGAAAGUUGAUAUUAUGCACUUAGGCCAAACACAUUCUUCCUCAAUGUCGUCAACUCUUAGCCUUUCGACAUCAAUCCUCAAGGAAAAAACAGAGGAAAGCAUUUAAUGGAGAUUAACAAAAGAAAUGAUUGCUUUCAACAACAACAACAAACAGAAAACUAAGAAAUCAUUCCAUGCAGAUACAGAUACCGAAACUUGAUUCAAUAGCUUGAAGUAUGACAAUUUUUCGGUCGAAUAAUUCAACAGCUUGUGGGCGGCAUGUAGCCAAUUAACUUCAUCGAACAAAGCGAAAUAUUUGAAAAAGGGCCCUAAUAAAAAAACUUAAGAUACAGACUGUUUGUUUUUUCUACACAUUAUGAGAAGCUUUUUGACUACUAAAAUGAAGCUAAAAACUAACUAAAAUUGUUAACAGAUCGAUAAAGACUUUAUAACGUUCUAUGCAACCAGCACUUCAAUACCUUCCUUGUAGCAAAAUCAUUGGAAUACAUCAAAAAACUUCAUGAAGGAAAACAUUAAGGACUAAAAGAUUACAGAAACAUUGAAGACUUGGGAGAUACUAAUUUUGGAGAAGGUGAUUUUGUGCUAAAGAUAAUUAAAAGUAUUUACUUCUAAUUAUUUUCAAUAGCAGCAGUUUCAAGAAAAUCUGACACCGGAGCCAAGUCAAGAAGCAAGUUCACCAUCAAAGAGUGACUGAUGGCAUUCAUCUUUGAAGCAGAGACGAUGCAAAGUAUUAGAGGACAACAUAGCAUUCCGAAAAUCCAGAGGUGAAACUAUUCAACCUCUAAUACUUACAUUUUACAUUAAGGGAACAAAUUAAUACUUCAUUUCGUUAUAUGGCUCCAAAUCAAGACAACCAAUGUCAUAAAAGCUGUGGACGUCUGUUUCAAAUACUUUUUUUGUUCAACUUAAACUUUAUAGAAACAUGAAUCCAGAACUGUCAACAAUGCAACCAACGUUAAGUACAUAAUUUUAUUUAAUUAUAAACAGAAGUAAGUAACUCUGUUGUUUUUAUUUGUGGUGUAUUAUUUCUUGGGUUUAAUUUUUUUGAACAUUUUUUAUUUCUUAACUACAUUCAAAAAAAAAAAUGAUUUAAACAAAAUAUGUAAAGUAAGCACAUUAAGUUAGAAAAACAAGUAAACAAGAAUCAUAAUUGCAACACAAGAAAUAACACACACAAAAUAAAAAUAACAAAUUAAGCUGUUUUAGUUUUGUCCAUCACUGUAUAAGUUGUAUUUAGUAUAUAAGUACUAAUAUAAUAAAAAAUAUACCAAAUAAUCUAUUAAAAUAAAUGUAUUUGCACAAAAACACAAAUUUUGUUUUUAAUGAAAUUUAAAUUUUGAAGAUUUUACAGAUU